AUUGUUCAUUCAUUCAUUCUCCAGGUGGGUAGUGAGAACCUGCCAGGUGGCAGGCGCUGUGCAAGGAUCUGUGGUUGAAGUAAUGACCAGGACAGACACUGGUGGAGCUUAAGUCUAGUGGGGCAACAUGUGAUAAAUGUUACAACUGGGAAAGAUGGUGAUCGUUAGCAGGAGACCUCACACAGUCAAAGGUUAGAAGAGUGAAGCUGAAGGAAGUCUCCAGCCUGAACGGAGCUGGGCAGGAUCCGUGCCCAGGCCUGGAGAACGGAAGGUCUGGGCGAGAGAGAACAUGGUUCGUUAGAAUAACUGAAAGAAGUUCAGUGUAUCUGGAGUGUGUGAAGGAAAGUGGUGAGAGAAGAGGCUGGAAAGUGUGGCUUGCCAAGCAGUGCCAUGUCCGCAGCCGGGAUCCGAAGUGGCGAACUCCCAGGCCGCCGAAUUGGAACGUGCGAACUUAGCUGCUGCGCCACAGAGCCGACCCCCUGGAUAAUGUUUUCUUAAGUAAGAGCACAAUUGUGAGGAGUUGAAAAAGGGAAAAGACAUGAAAAGAAGAAAAGGAAAGAGAACUGAGAAGAAAGCAGAUGACUUGUAACCGGUAAUAGUAGACUAAUCCAACAGAAAAGAGGAGAAAACAAAAGAAAAAGAAAUGAGAGAAAGUAAAAGUAAGGACAUAAUAUAAAGUUCUGUAAUAUUGACAAUAACACUAUCAAGUCCG
rnacentral:lncRNA from 1 species